AUUGAAGGCGUACACAUGGCUUACACUUGUCUGGCUUACACUUGCAACAGCAGCAGCAGCAGCAACAGCAGCAGCAGCAGCAGCAACAGCAGCAGCAGCAGCAACAGCAGCAGCAGCAGCAGCAGCAACAGCAGCAG
ensembl:miRNA Gm44488 predicted gene, 44488